rnacentral:misc_RNA from 1 species
UUAAGUUCAGCGGGUAGUCCUACCUGAUUUGAGGUCAAAAUUGUCAUGUGUUGUCCUUGCGGACGGUUAGAAGCAGGUCAAAGUUUAGCAAUCCCAAGUCCAACGGCGUAGAUAAUUAUCACACCAAUAGAUUAGGAGCCUAACCCACUAAUACAUUUCAGAGGAGCAGACCACACAAGUGUAGACCUGCAAAGCCCCCA